AGGCCGGCGCGAUACUCCCUAUAACUAUCCUUUUAAUCAGUAGAUUUCAAAUAUCGCGCCGGUUUUUUAUACUUUUAUACGAUAAAAAAUCCCGCCAUCUUCAUCAGAUCGGCGGGUUUUAU
rnacentral:sRNA from 22 species